rnacentral:lncRNA from 10 species
GGUCAGACCAAGGGUAUCAAACCCUGAUUUUCCCACGGCCUCAUCAUGUGACCUCAAACAGGUAACAGGUCACUUCCUCGCUGUCUCACUUUUCUCAUCUGUAAAAUGAGGAUAAUAAAACAAAAGACUGGAGGGUUCUGAAAGCACUAAAUUGGCCUUGUGUAAGCAAAGUACCUGGCACAUGAGAGACUCCAUGAACUUCAGUUCCUUCCCCUGGCUUUAUUUUAGUUAUUUGUUUGUUUGUUUGCUUUUCUACUCCACAAUAGAGGUAAUGGACUGUUUUUAUUUAAACAAAUGUUAAAAUGUCAUUUAACAGAUAUUCACUGUCACUGUGUCCCUGGUCCUGUCCUUGGUACUGGUAACAUAGAGUGGCAUCCCAGGUGAGCAGGAAGCAGGGAGGCACCCCCUGUGCAAGGGCGAUCCCCACCGAGACUAGGGUCUGCCUAUCUGGAUUAAGAGCCACGAUUCCAAAUUCCUGCUGCCUUGCCACUCACUAUGUGAUAGAUAAUAAUGUUUUGUGAUCCUAAACAUGUCAAAAUGGAGUCACUUAUGACAAGUGACUCAGCCUACAGUUAAACUGCUGACCUCUCAAAGUGUACGGUGGACAGAGGGGAUAACACCUGCUGUGGUCAGGCACCCCCAAGACCUAACAAGAAAGAGAAGCCACAGGGCAGCUGAGAUAAUGGCUAUGGAGACUCUUGCAGAGGGCCAUGAACACCGCAAUAAACUGACCAUCACGGGGCGUCAUGGCUCAUACCUGUAACCCCAACAUUUUGGAAGGAUGAAGUAAGGAGAUUGCUUGAACCCAGCAGUUCAAGAUAAGCCUGGCAACAUAGGGAGACCUCAUCUCUACAAAAACUUUAAAAAGUUGGCCAGGCACGGUGGCUCACGCCUGUA